AACAUGGCUCAGGACGAACGCUGGCGGCGUGCCUAAUACAUGCAAGUCGUACGCUUCUUUUUCCACCGGAGCUUGCUCCACCGGAAAAAGAAGAGUGGCGAACGGGUGAGUAACACGUGGGUAACCUGCCCAUCAGAAGGGGAUAACACUUGGAAACAGGUGCUAAUACCGUAUAACAAUCGAAACCGCAUGGUUUUGAUUUGAAAGGCGCUUUCGGGUGUCGCUGAUGGAUGGACCCGCGGUGCAUUAGCUAGUUGGUGAGGUAACGGCUCACCAAGGCCACGAUGCAUAGCCGACCUGAGAGGGUGAUCGGCCACAUUGGGACUGAGACACGGCCCAAACUCCUACGGGAGGCAGCAGUAGGGAAUCUUCGGCAAUGGACGAAAGUCUGACCGAGCAACGCCGCGUGAGUGAAGAAGGUUUUCGGAUCGUAAAACUCUGUUGUUAGAGAAGAACAAGGAUGAGAGUAACUGUUCAUCCCUGACGUUCACCAAGCC
rnacentral:rRNA from 1 species